CCUACGGGAGGCAGCAGUGGGGAAUUUUCCGCAAUGGGCGAAAGCCUGACGGAGCAAUACCGCGUGAGGGAGGAAGGCUCUUGGGUUGUAAACCUCUUUUUUCAGGGAAGAUAAUGACGGUACCUGAGGAAUAAGCAUCGGCUAACUCCGUGCCAGCAGCUGCGGUAAUACGGAGGAUGCAAGCGUUAUCCGGAAUGAUUGGGCGUAAAGCGUCCGCAGGUGGUUUUAAAAGUCUGUUGUUAAAGCGUGAGGCUUAACCUCAUAAGGGCAAUGGAAACUGUAAGACUAGAGUACGUUCGGGGCAAGGGGAAUUCCCAGUGUAGCGGUGAAAUGCGUAGAGAUUGGGAAGAACACCGGUGGCGAAAGCGCCUUGCUAGGCCGUAACUGACACUGAGGGACGAAAGCUAGGGGAGCGAAUGGGAUUAGAUACCCCAGUAGUCCUAGCCGUAAACGAUGGAUACUAGGCGUUGUCUGUAUCGACCCGGACAGUGCCGUAGCUAACGCGUUAAGUAUCCCGCCUGGGGAGUACGCACGCAAGUGUGAAACUCAAAUGAAUUGACGG
rnacentral:rRNA from 1 species